CCUACGGGUGGCAGCAGUGAGGAAUAUUGGUCAAUGGCCGGAAGGCUGAACCAUCCAAGCCGCGUGAAGGACGACGGUGCCAAGCAUUGUAAACUUCUUUUGUCAAGGGACAACAUCAGGCUCGAGCGCCGUACCGCGUGUACUUUAAGAAAAAGCAUCGUCUAACUCCGUGCCAGCAGCCGCGGUAAUACGGAGGAUCCGAGCGUUAUCCGUUUUUAUUGGGUUUACAGGGUGCGUAGGCGGGCUGUUAAGUCAGCGGUAACAGCCCGGGGCUCAACCCCGGCGAGCCGUUGAAACUUGCGGUCUUGAGAUGACGAGAGGCAUGCGGAAUGCGUAGUGUAGCGGUGAAAUGCUUAGAGAUGAUACAGAACACCGAUUGCGAAGGCAGCUUACCAAGCUACUUCUGACGUUGAGGCACGAAAGCGUGGGGAGCAAACAGGAUUAGAUACCCGAGUAGUC
rnacentral:rRNA from 1 species